GAUGAACGCUGGCGGCGUGCCUAAUACAUGCAAGUCGAACGAACAGACGCGGAUCUUGCUCCUCUCACGUUAGCGGCGCACGGGUGAGUAACACGUGUAUAACCUACCUAUAAUACUGGUAUAACUUCGGGAAACCGGAGCUAAUACCGGAUAAUAUAUUGAACCGCAGGGGUCAUUAGUGAAAGACGGUUUUGCUGGCUGUUGUAGAUGGAUCCGCGCCUGAUUAGCUUGUUGGUGGGGUAAAGGCUUACCAAGGCUAUGAUGGGUAGCCGGCCUGAGAGGGUGACCGGCCACAUUGGGACUGAGAUACGGCCCAGACUGCUACGGGAGGCAGCAGGGGGGAAUAUUGAACAAUGGGCGGAAGCCUGAUGCAGCAACGCCGCGUGCGGGAUGACGGCCUUCGGGUUGUAAACCGCUUUCGCCUGUGACGAAGCGUGAGUGACGGUAAUGGGUAAAGAAGCACCGGCUAACUACGUG
rnacentral:rRNA from 1 species